UUUUUUCAACUCUUUCAUUCCCUGAUAGUGAUCUCCAAUCCAUCAAUUUAAACUGGAUUUGGAUUUAAUACAUAAGGAUCCAUUUAUAAAUGUACCAACCCGAACCUAAUAAAUAAAUGGGUUAAGUGGGUUCGGGUACUCUAGGUGACCCGUUUAACUUAUUUUAUAUAUAUAUAUAUAUAUAUAUAUAUAUGCACAAAAAUCAAUAAAAUGAGUCCAAUAACCCCAAAUCCCCGAUUCUCCCCAUCUCCCUAAACCUCACUGCCUCAGCCGGUCAGCCCUCAGGACCCUCACCGCCUCACGCACCGGCACGGCCUCACAGGUGAGUCAGGUGACCGGGAAGUGGCGCUGCGGCAGUCGGAAGCUUCGCUCCCUGCUACGGUGCAGACUAGAAGCAGGCACGCCCGUUGCGUGCCGUCCGAAGAACUGAAGAAGCAGCCGUCGCAGGCACGCAGCACGCAGGCACGCCCGUUGCAGCCUCGCCCUCGCAGCUUCACAGCCUCGCCGGCAGCCCACGCCACUCUCCACGGCUCCACGCAGCCACGCCCCAUGCCAGAUCUGAGAUGAGAUCCGAGUCCUGACUGGGCCGACUCCAAUCCCCCUACGGCAGGGCUGAGGGCACCCACUCCAGUUCCAGAUCUGAGUUCUAAUUUUGUAUUAUUUUUUUAAUUGUUUUUUGAACUCAAAGUCUUCUCCUUAAAUGUUUAAAUUUUUUUAAAUAAAUAAAUAAAUUAUAUUUUAAACUAGUGACCGUUUAUGAUCCGUUUAUUAAACGGACGGGUCUGAGUCUGCCACCCAUUAAUAAACGGGUUAAUUCGAAUCCGAACCCGUCUUGUCCGAACUCGGCCGGUUAACUCAAAACCAAUGCUGAUACAUGUUUCGGUUGAGAAAAUCAGAUCUGCUGUAAACGCGGAUUAGGGCUCGCAUCUCAGGGAGGUUUACGUCUCGCAUCUGGCAAUCUCGGUUUUCAGGUGUUUAUAAUGGACACUGGCGUGUCUGCAGUUUCUGGAACAAUCUGAUCGUGGUCUUUCGUUUAAAUAAUUUUCUUGCUUGCAAGUAGUUAAUGGCGUGUGGGGCUGAUAGAGUCUAUGUUGUUGUUUAAGAUGAAUUUUGGUCUGAGAAAGAGAGAGAGCUUGGGUGGUUGCACACCAACAUUCAAAGCGAAACUUGCAUUUUCAAAUUGUUUUUUUUAAUAUUUAGUUUAUUGUUGUACAUAAUCUUAAGUUUUUUGCAUCAUUUUCUUUUUUUUGGCCAAUAUUGAUCUGCUUCAGUACUCCUUUCGUUUGCGAUAGAUGGUUGAGGGCAAUGCAUUGUUUGACUCUGCGUAUGACAUUAUUGCGGCAAUUAUGCCCAUAUUUCCUCUUAUGCUAUGUAGUUUUGCAAUUUGCAACACUACAACUUUAUGGCUUCCCUUCUUAUACUAGAUUGUUAUGAACCAAGCUUCUCACUUUGCAGUAUAUUACCAAUUCAAAACAAAGGAGCGGAGUCCAUGUUGUACUCAUCGUAAUAUCAGUUGCAGAGGCAAUAGCACAAUGGUGGCAAAAAAUUCAGAUCUCUCUUAUGUGGAGAAGUCACCAGUAAAAUACUUUAUGGAAGAGAUUUAUGGUGGAAAUUCAUUGCGAGGCACGACAACUCUUGGCGACGAGAAAGAACGGGAGAGAGUAUAUGAUACCAUCUUCCGCUUGCCAUGGAGAUGUGAACUGCUUAUAGAUGUUGGCUUCCUUGUCUGCUUGGAUUCAUUUCUGUCAUUGUUAACUAUAAUGCCAGCUAGGAUUCUGAUGACCCUUUGGAGAUUUGUAAACACAAGGCAGUUCAUGAGGCCUUCAGCGGUGGAGCUGUGUGAUUUUGGCUGUUUUGUGGUGCUGGUAUGUGGAGUCACACUAUUAGAGCAAACAGAUAUCAGCCUAAUAUAUCACAUGAUUCGUGGUCAAGGAACUAUCAAACUCUAUGUGGUUUACAAUGUCUUGGAGAUAUUUGAUAAACUCUUCCAAAGUUUUGGUGGAGAUGUAUUGCAGACUCUAUUCAAUUCUGCAGGGGGAUUUGCAAAUUCUUCACAAGAAAGUGCAGCAUUUUAUUUAUGGAGAUUCCUUUCAGAUCAAGCAUUAGCUGUGGCUACCUCAAUUGUUCAUUCAUUCAUCCUAUUAGCUCAGGCAAUCACUUUAUCAACAUGUAUAGUUGCUCACAAUAAUGCUUUGUUGGCUCUACUGGUUUCUAAUAAUUUUUCCGAGAUAAAAAGCAAUGUCUUCAAACGCUUUAAUAAGGACAAUAUCCACAUGCUUGUAUAUUAUGAUUCAGUGGAGCGGUUUCAUAUAUCAGCAUUUCUCUUAUUCGUUUUAGCUCAAAAUAUUCUGGAGGCUGAGGGUCCCUGGUUUAAAAGUUUCUUUCUUAAUGCUCUCCUGGUGUACAUCUGUGAAAUGGCUAUUGAUAUCAUUAAACAUUCAUUCCUUGCCAAAUUCAACAACAUAAAGCCCAUUACAUACUCGGAGUUUCUGGAGGACCUUUGCAAGCAGACGCUGAAUAUACAAGAGGAUGACAAGAAAAACCUCACUUUUGUUCCUUUGGCACCAGCUUGUGUGGUCAUUCGAGUGCUGACUCCAAUAUAUGGUUCUCGUCUCCCUUAUGGUCCUCUCCCAUGGAGGCUAUUCUGGAUUUGCAUAUUGUCUACUGUUACUUUUGUCAUGCUUGCUAGCCUAAAGGUGAUGAUAGGCAUGGGCCUAAGAAAACAUGCCUCUUGGUAUAUCGAUAGGUGCCAAAAGAGAAGACACCAUCUCCACACCGACUAAAAUUUUGAACAAGAAGAAUAUAUACGCAUACAACUAUCAAACUCCCAAUCUUGAAUUAUUGGAACAAUAGCCCAAAGUGGUUGGUGCAUUAAGAAGUUCCAUCUCACAAGUGCUUUUGUGGUUCCUUCCCACUUUUGCCGGGCUCGUCAGUUUCAGAACAGCCUGCAUACAAAGAAGGUUUCAGGGUGAAAUUUGCUUAUGAUUCCCGAACAAUGCUCUCUUUGUACAAAGGUUUAUUCCCUUCAGGAAUGGAAUGAGGAGACCACCAAAGAACAACCAGAAUACCUACAAAGAAAAUUUAUUUAUAGUUUCGCUUUCUAUUCUGUUUUCAACCAUGUUAAACAUAAUGUUGAAUUUCUUGGAUAGGGAAUCAGAAUGUAUUUGUUUUCUUAAAUUGGAGAAAGGAAAUUUGGGAUAGCUUUGAGUCCCAUAGUAGUAGGUUGGAAUCAUGAUUAAUGGCAUGGAAAACAAAAUAUUACAUUAGGGAUGGACCAAAGGAUUUUGUUUGGGAAAUGAAAAGGAAAAGAGAGUUAGUACUUUUCAUUAUACUAUCUUUUUCUAUCAAAUUCUAUAAAAAUAAAAAUUUGUUUGAA